AACGCCAUAAUGGAUUUCUAACUGUAAGCGUAUGCCAGGCAGUGUCAAUAAGCAGCGCAUUUACAACGUGAACGAUAAAAUUAUGUAUAAAUACAGUACAAUCCAUGAACCGUACUGUAAUCGGAAAACUAAAGUGUGUUGUUUUGGAUUAUGUAGCAAUAUUAUUUGUUAUACCGCGCACUGCAAGUUUUUGACGUGCAAUUUUUUGACGGUUUAGUAUCGAAUCACCCAACUGUUCGUAUGCAAGAUUUUUAUUUUUCUGCAUUAGUUUUUUUAUGCCCAGCUAGUUAUCGGAUUACUACUGUAGCAAAAUGACAAGCCCACGAGUCGUCGUUAUUGUGGUCGGCUUACUCCUAUUCGUUUCAAUGGUUGUGCAAGCUUUUGGUGAGAAAUUGGAGGAACUUACAGCGGACGAGAAAGGGCGAUUGAAAAGCAUUAUACUAAGGGAAGGACAGACACUCGUCAUAUCAUGUCCUGAUCGCAAAGCACUGCGUAUAAAAACCGCACAGUAUCGUAUUACUAAUCCGAAAGUGUGUGGAAAAGGGAUUUCGACAUGCCGCAACGCCUGCCCCGGAUCCUUUCAAACGGAAGCUCUGGCACAGAAAUGUGAUUUUAAAUCCCGCUGUCGCCUGAAAGCCCGUAAGCGACGAGAUCAGUGCGCCUCUGGCCAUGUGGAACCGCUGGCUCUUCUGUAUACUUGCAACAAUUGGAGACAGAUUUGGGAACAACGCAAGCCAGAUGUUCAUUACAUGAGAGUAUUGCAAAGUGGCAUAUGCAACUUUAGAAAAUUCCUAAAAUUCUGCAACUUUUAAGUUUUUAUAUGUGUACAUUGGGGUUUUAAACUGUGGUUUGUGCGAUUAUGUAUUUAUUGAGUCAUUGACCAGUUCAGAAAAUUGUGUUUUUUGAAACGUUUUAAAAAGAGGAUUGCUUUUACAAUAUUUAUAUACUACUGCAUAAAGACGGU